CCUUGCCUCACAUCGGCCCCUCCCACACUGACAGAGGUCAGCGGGAGCCCCUUGCCUCACACCGGCCCCUCCCACGCUGACAGAGGUCAGCGGGAGCCCCUUGCCUCACACCGGCCCCUCCCACACUGAGAGAGGUCAGCGUGAGCCCUUGCCUCACACCGGCCCCUCCCACACUGAGAGAGGUCAGUGUGAGCCCCUUCCUCAACAGGCCACCGUGAG
rnacentral:lncRNA from 1 species